CACGCUUACAAAGAUUACCCGCUGCUGUUCAAAUUUUUCGCGACGAUCACACGGAAGCGAAAGGCGCCAAACACAAUUUUCCGUAAUAGAACUCAUGCGCACCGGAAAGUACCUCAUUUAUUUCCCGCCAUCCGGCGCCUCAACCAACCGAAAUUUGGCGCCUAAAAUCCGAUGAGCCAAUGAGACAAAUGGCCGCCAUUUUGAACCAAUAAGCGUCGAGCCCGCGCUCUCGCUACCGCGUCAUUGUCAUAUCUCGAAAAUUAGUACGGCGGCAGUGCAGUGAAUGAACCCCGUCCGCAAAUCGAAGAUUUUCCGUGACAAAAUAAUUAAAUAGAUAGAGGUGAAGACGGCGUCGCGGAUGCUAAUCGGUGUAGUGUUUCGCUGUUUCGGACUCUGUUGAGAUGUCGGCUUUAAGUGUGAGGGCGCCCGGUCUGCAGGCCACGACGACGAUGCUGGACACUAGGUCAUUGCGCGUGCGGGGAGUCACCGCGCUCGACGGCGUCAGAAGAAACUUGUUCGGUUGCACCGACAGGGAAGAGAACAGGCGAUUUGUCGAGAGAGUUGGCGCGCCAAUUAGAACUCGACAGUCAGCGAUGGGGAUUCGAUUUUGCGAAUGAGAAACCCUUGCCUGGCGCGCAGAGAUUCGCAUGGCAACUGGUGCCAGCGUCGACGGUGCCGGCAGCGCUACGGCGGUCGCCGAUCACCAUCACCACUCCCAAACAGAACACACCGUCACAAGAGAGCAAAGUAUCGAGUCCGGAAAGCGGCAAAACGCAGAAAAGAAUAACAGAUUUCCUGAAACCCCGCAAGAGGUUAUCGAAUGGCAGCAAGAAGUCCCCCGCGCACGCGCACAAGAACGACGUCGGCCACAUUCGCCCCCCCAAAAUGGCGCGUCUCGCUCCACCACACUACAAGCGCCCCAGCUAGGCGAUGCAAUACCACCACCUCACCGCCAUUGGGCCGGGCACCAAACUGUGAACCAACGUGCCAAAACUGAACCACGUGGGACGGCCAAUGCGAACCAGGGUGUUAUGAAUUGUGCAAAAUUUAACUUUUAAUUUCUUAAUUUAUUUUGUAAGAUAGUUUCAGAUAUAUAAAUAGCGUACGAUAUAAUUUAAUAUAAUAUAUAAUAAUGCUCCACAUGUCACUGGCAACGCAUCACAAUAUGGGUUUUGCUCAACGCUUCGCACACCGCGGAAUGCAGGAACUUACAGUUUGAAACACACAAUAAUUUAUAUCGUGACAAUUAGAUGUAAGAGUUAUUAUGAUCUCUCAAGUAUAUUAAGUUAUAUAAGAGUAAUUUAAGUUAGGUGUACGAACGUUCGAAUCGUGUCUACUCGUAUGUCAUACAGCCGAGCGUACUGGUCAAUCCGAUGCCUUGUAAAUGUUAGAAGCACAUAUGGAAAUUAAAUUUCCACUCAUGCUUCGUAAUAUUUUCGACGCAUUGUAACAUUGUUUUAGUGUAUCAUUCGAUACAAGAGAACCGUGUUGAACAACAACCAUUAACAACCUAUGUUAGCGUAAGUUAAAUACAAAUACUCAAGGAAUAUUAUGUUACCGACCGCGUAACCUUUGCCCGCUUUCAAUUUAAUACAUAGAGUUUGAGUAUUUGUGUUUCGUGGGGUAACAUCUAUUGCAAAUUCUUAGUUUAUUUGUUUUGUUGUUGUAUUUUAAUGGAUUAUAUCUUUAUAUUGACGAUUUUAAUUGGUUACUCUAAAUUUGAACGUUUGAGCCGGGACCCUUUAUGAAAGUACAAAUUUUCUCAUCGGAUUUAGGUUGAAGGGUCGUGGCGAGCACAAAAGACGGGCCAUGCAUCAUCCUCAUUCAUAUUCACGUGUUUACUAUAAGUUUUCGAUACACUAUGUAUUUUAUUUUGCGUGUAUAACCAAGGGAGGUAGUACUCUUGGUUCAUACCGUAGCAGACGAUGUUUCUACUUGAAUGAAAUGAAAUGAAAUUAAAGGACACUGCAGACUAUUUUUACUAUGUUGUAAAGAUAUAUAUCCUACGUGAGGUAGGAGUUUCGUUUACUUUAUGACUUAUGUUUAUCGAAAUAUUAUGACUUUGUUUCAUUUAUGAAUUUGUGUUUGUGUGUGGUCUUUGGAACGGACUGCAGUUUCAUCCUUGUUUGUUUAUAGCUAACCUUCCCGCGGGCUAGUUACCUAAGAUUUCGCUUAGUUUAUUAUUUUUUGAAGUACAUUAUUCUUUUAAUUAAAACUUCAUUGAAUAAUAUACGAAAAUAAAUGUAUUUCCACUUGCAAAAUUCGUGGAAUGCAUCAGCCUGUAGAUAAACUGCUAUAUUAUAGUGUAUUGAUUUAAUUCUUUAAAUUCCCUGUCUGUUAAGACAACGCAAUACACGGAGGCAAUACUAUCUAUGACUUUAAAGAAUUAAAUGAAUCACCACAUAAGGGUGUAAAAAUAUGUUUGAAAUCGAAAUUAUGCGCGAUUUAAGCAUUUUUUUAAAAACAAUAAUUCGGUUCCGGAGAUCACACUAUAAUUUUGUUUGUUUCAAAUGUCUACGUAGAUGUUAAAGCGGACGACACGACAGUAAUCAUGCAUACAAACAAAAUUGCAGCGAGAAUAUUUAUAAUUAUGUUUCUCUGACACCUGUGAUGUAUUAAAUAUGAUCUCAUAACAUAAUUUUACUAUAUUCAAUGUCAUAUUUAAUAUUUUUUUGUUUGUUAAAAUAGCGUUAGUUACUGCGAACAGUACGUAACAUUGAAAACAGUAUCCCUGUCGUGUGGUAAUGAGAAAUAAUUUAAUACAUCAAUUUAAUAUAUUUUAUAUUUGAUUAGUGUGUGUAGUUGUACAGUUGAGUUGGGGAACGUGGGCAUGAAACUAAAGGAUUUGGUCGCUCGGUGACUGCAACAUUUCAAUAGUAUUUGCUACUUAUUUCUUAUCCUUUCAAAAAAAUAACUGCUAAAUUCCUCAAGAACUAAAUCCAUAAAAUAACAACUGCAUUAAUGUACCAUUUAAAAUAAAAAAAAACAUCGAGCGUCCAAAAAUCCAUGAGAUCCGCCUGAUUCCUUUGACUGAUGUGUAAAUAAUUUACAGUAACACGAAGCGAACUCCGCUACACUGUAAAUUGUAAGCACUUUAAUUAAGCGGGGUGUAACUGAACGUUGGCGAGGGAUACGCAAAAAAAAUAAUGUAAGCGUCAGAGGCAAUAUGUGCCAAAUAAACGACACCAACCUGCAAUAACCUUGUACCAUCUCAUGCCUGAUUGUAUGGCUCUUACAAAUUCAGAUAAAGGAUACAUUGUGUACCUUUGGACCUAUGCAAGCCGUAGAACAGCAAUUAAAAACAAAAAUAUUUUUGAAAUCCUAUUGGAUUCUGUUUAUUUAGCAUGUAAUACAUUUUAAAUGUAUAUGCAAUAUUUAUUACCGAAUACAAAUACUAUAGGCCACAAUCAGGCAUUACAUGUUUCAAUAGAACUAAGCAAUAUGUAAACAAUAACAUGCUAAAGGAAUAAUGUUGUAAACGUACAACAUGAGUUAGCUUUGUAAAUAUUUGGCAGACAGUGUUUUGAUGGUGUAAUAGUGUUAUAUUAUUAUGUAUUAUGUAUAAUAUUUAGUUAAAAAAGCUUACUUCAGACGGUA